rnacentral:tRNA from 1 species
GGUUUGUGGCUCAGUGGUACAGCACUUGCCUAGCAUGUGUGAGGCACUGGGUUCAAUCCUUAGCACCA